rnacentral:rRNA from 1 species
UACGGGAGGCAGCAGGGGGAAUAUUGCACAAUGGGCGAAAGCCUGAUGCAGCUAUGCCGCGUGUAUGAAGAAGGCCUUAGGGUUGUAAAGUACUUUCAUCGGGGAGGAAAAAACAAAACUAAUAAUUUUAUUUCUUGACGUUACCCGAAAAAGAAGCACCGGCUAACUCCGUGCCAGCAGCCGCGGUAAUACGGAGGGUGCUAGCGUUAAUCAGAAUUACUGGGCGUAAAGAGCACGUAGGUGGUUUUUUAAGUUCAGAUGUGAAAUCCCUGGGCUUAACCUAGGAACUGCAUUUUGAAACUGAAAUACUAGAGUAUCGUAGAGGGAGGUAGAAUUCUAGGUGUAGCGGUGAAAUGCGUAGAUAUCUGGAGGAAUACCUGUGGCGAAAGCGGCCUCCUAAACGAAUACUGACACUGAGGUGCGAAAGCGUGGGGAGCAAACAGGGAUUAGAUACC